CUUUAAUUGCCAUCAUUUAGUUGGGCACUUUAAAGAGACUGCCGGUGUUAAGCCGGAGGAAGGUGGGGAUGACGUCAAGUCCUCAUGGCCUUUAUGCCCAGGGCUACACACGUGCUACAAUGGCGGUACAAAGAGAAGCAACCUCGCGAGAGUGCGCAAAUCUCAAAAAGCCGUUCUCAGUUCGGAUUGAAGUCUGCAACUCGACUUCAUGAAGUCGGAAUCGCUAGUAAUCGCGGAUCAGCAUGCCGCGGUGAAUACGUUCCCGGGCCUU
rnacentral:rRNA from 1 species